CUUUAACACAUGCUCCUAAUCUCCGUCCACCAGGCACCACUUGUUUUCGCCUCUGUGCCAGGACCCGAGCAGAAAGCUGCACUCAGCAGAACAGUGUGGCACAGCAUUAUCAUAGCCUGACGCACCCCAAGCCGCAGCACCCAGCCACUUUACACUUCGAUUGCCACAUGCUAACGAAGCCAACGGGCUUUUGUGAGAGCUUAUCUUGUUUAUCCCUAAUGAGCAAGACAUUGGCGAUAGUGGCAAGAAAAAGACUAUCUGCGAUGGUAUGAGGGAAAAAAACUUGAGAGGAACCAAGCUCAAAAGGGAACCCAUUCUCAUCUG